GACAGGACAGCCUGAGUGGGGCUGACAUGAGGUCAAGGGACUGGGAUGAUGGCCUCACAAUGUGGCACUGCGGAGACAGGACAGCCUGAGUGGGGGCCUACACGAGGUCAGGGGGCUGGGAUGAUGGCCUCACAAUGUGGCACUGCGGAGACAGGACAGCCUGAGUGGGGCCUACACGAGGUCAGGGGGCUGGGACGAUGGCCUCACAAUGUGGCUGCCCCUGGGCUGGGCACUGUGUGUCAUGCCCAGGCACUUGCAAUCAUUCAGGGCAAAAACAGCAGCUGCCUGAUAGAAGACUGUUUCAAGAUGUUAUGGAAUACAUGUUUGUGUCUCUGCAAAAUGCAGAUGUUGGAGCCGUGGAGAUAAACCCUUCGGAGGCAGCUCAUGGCCUUUCAAAUUCAUGCAUUACACAUGCAGAUUUCAGGGCUCCAUCCCAGACCUCAGGAGUCGGCAUCAGGCGCAUGGAAGUUUGAGGAGUGCUGAGGUUGAGGGAUGAAGUCACACAAGGAAGUUCCCGCCUUGAACACAAGACAGGUGCUACAGCAACGCGACUCCCGCCCUGCUGGUGUUGGGGGCACCUUGGAGGAAGCUGGCUGCACACUGGGAUCUACUGCAUGCAGCUACCUGGUGAGCUUUGAAAAAUCCCACACCAAUACAAUCCGAUGGUGGAGGGGGUCCCAAGACCCAGAGCUCAGUGUUUAUAAAGCUCUCCAAGUGCUUGCAGUGGGCAUUCAGAACCGAGGGCCUCCGACUUAACCUGAACCUCCUCUCAGGUCCCUGUGGAGAAUGCAAAGAGCUCUCUUUUCUUCCUGUUAAGGAGUAGUUGUGUCUCUGCACACACAAAUAUGUAUAAUUAAGCAAGAACAACAUCCAGGCGCAGCCCUGACUGCAGUCUAUAGCCAGAUGACAGGUGUGCCUAAAGGUAAGGGAGCAAAGGCUUUCAGUCAAAAUUCUUUUUAGAGGCCAGGUGCGGUGGCUCACGCCUGUAAUCCCAGCACAUUGGGAGGCUGAGGCAGGCGGAUCACGAGGUGAGGAGUUUGAGACCAGCCUGGCCAACAUAGUGAAACCUUGUCUCUACUAAAAAUACAAAAAUUAGCCAGGCGUGGUGGCGUGCACCUGUAAUCCUAGCUACUCGGGAGGCUGAGGCAGGAAAAUGGCUUGAACCCAGGAGGUGGAGGUUGUGGUGAGCUGCGAUCGUGCCACUGCACUCCAGCCUGGGCAACAGAGCAAGACUCCAUCUCAAAAAAAAAAAAAAUCACUUACAAAAGCAAUCUGGUAAGUAGUUGUACCCAGAAACUGAGAGUCCACACAAAUGUGGUAGAUGAAGGGAAAAGCCAACGUUCCCAAUGCGGAACAAAGCCACGGAGCCGAACGCUAAACGCAGAGCGAAGUCACGCCAAUCCCCUGCAAAACCACGCGAGUGGUCCACUGGGAGCGGGACAGACUGAAAAAAGGGCAGCAUUUGAGUGAAGUCAGAUACAACCACGUGCCCUCUGGCAAACCGACAGGCGACUCAAAGUGGAGCUGGUGACGAUGAGACCAACACUACAAUCACCAGGUUGCACCACACAAAACUGCUUCUAUUCAACUGUUUUGACCUCAAAGCAUCCAUUUCAUAAGGCUCCAUUUUAUAACAUACCAAGGAAAAUAGCAACAUUUCUAAAUUUGAAUGUUUAUAAUGCAUAACUUUAAAUAUGAAUGUAUAACUACAUCAAUAAGUUACUUAAUGGCAGGCAUUUGAUGAGUCCACUUACAUCACUAGAGACUUUUAUAUCUAAAUGUGUUAUGUAAUUCAAAAGAAACCCUGCUUCCUGGGAAAACGGGAUUACCAUAUAAUCAGGGUUAAUUUCUGUGACUAUUUGGCACGUAUGAGGCCCACUUAAGAACAGAGGGCUGGGUGCGGUGGCUCACACCUGUAACCCCAGCAUUUUGGGAGGCUGCAGUGGGCAGGUCACCUGAGGCCAGAAGUUCGAGACCAGCCUGGCCCACAUGGCAAAACGCUGUCUCUACUAAAAAUAUAAAAAUUAGCUGGGCAUGGUGGUGAGCACCUGUAAUCCCAGCUACUUGGGAGGCUGAGACAGGAGAAUCACUUCAACCCAGGAGGCAGAGGUUGCAGUUAGCUGAGAUUGCACCACUGCACUCCAGCUUGGGUGAUAGAGCAAGACUCUGUUUCAAAAAAGUAAAAACUAAAAACAGAGAGAUACACCUGCUGCCUGCCGACCUGCAGGCAACACCAACAUCCCUUUUCUCUUCAGAUCUUUUCUCGGGCCAUUGGCCACAGUGCCGCCUCUACUGCAAAACAUGUACCCAGGAGGGAAAGGCAGGCAGCCUCCUAUUCCUUUCUGGAGAGAGGAGCAUGGGGCAGGGGGCUGUUGGAUUUCUGGGGAGGAAACUGCACAGAUGGAUGGAGGAACCCGCCUCACUCCCCUGCAUCUCCUGAAGAGGUGUCCGUGCCCUGCCAGCUGGGGAGUCAGUCCCACUGAAUCACUGCUGUUAAGGGGCUCAGCCCUGCAGGAGUGCCAGGAAGGGCUUCCGUUUCUUCUGCGAGUGUUGCUGAUAUGUAUGUGAAAAUCACACAAGGGCAAGGGCUUCACCCUGUGCGUCUAUUAAAACCAAGUGCAGCAUUG
rnacentral:lncRNA from 1 species